GCCCAGACCUGCUGCUUUGGGUCUGAGUUUUCCAUGAACAGAAAAGGGAAAUAGGUCACCCGAGAUUAUCAGACCGUUUGAAGAGAAUACAGUUUGGAAAGUUGUUGAUAGGCUAUCAUGGACUUCCCCUGGACAGAACUCAGCUACGUAAAUAGCACAAGAACACUCAGUUGUGGGAGUCUGAGGGCUGGCAAAACCCCAUGGCAUGCUUGAAUUACAGACCUCAUGUAGAGAAUGUUUCUUUAGGCAGCGUUUGAUGGUUCCCUGACCCCCCGCAUCUCUGCUGUUAUUUAAUGCAGUGAGAGUGAGCAUUGAACACCAUGGCGAGAACAGUGCAAUACUGCCGACGCCCAGGUGUGUCCUUAUUGAUAUGAGGGAUGUCACCAUCUCAGGGGAGUCACCGAGUGGACACGACUCUUUACCUCCAUGCCAAGCCUCCUCUUCUCAACCCCGCAGUUUCCUGUCCUUUCCCCAUCAUCUUGGUGAUGGAACUGCCUCAACCAGACAGGGCAGUGUCAAUGGAUGAGCCCUGGAAACUCAUAACCCUGUCUUGCAAGUCUCCUCACACUGGAACAUGCCGCCUAGCAGAACACUUUACAACACAUUAAAUAUCCAGGAGUCACAAAACUGUGUGGAUGACACAUCUGAACACUGAAGAAACUAUUUUGGAACAGCACAGGUACCUAUCAUUACUACACCUUAAAAACACUUGGAACAGGAGGUUUCUAAUUGGCCUCCUGGCAGGGACGUCAGACCCAACCGUGGCCUCCUCACAGCAACUGGAUUCACAGCUCAUCUUGAGCACCUAGGAGUGGCCUCAGCCCACCUCUGCUGUCUCCUUUGGGUCACCCUGUCCUCACCGAGCUCUGGUCUCUGACAUCACAUCCACAGCCUGUGAAUCUGUCGUCUUCUCUCAGUGCUGUGAUGAACCCCAAACCUAAACCUCAGCUCUGUGCUUGGUGUAUUUCUCAGCGAUGUGGCCAUCGACCAAAGCACACAGGAAGCCAAUCUGUAGACCUCUUUGGUUCUGAGGAGCUGCAGAAGGCGUUCCUUCUGGGCUAAACAUGUGUUCUGUAAGAAGCUGAAACAGGGUAUUUAUGGCAGGUGCUCCUGUGUUAAGGGCCUCCACAAUAGCAGCAAAGCAACAGCAUCCUAGAUGUGGUCAUUAGGGGCACCUGCCCUUGCUGAGGCCUCCCUGUGGCUCUUCAGCCCAAUCCAUUAGGGGCUUCUGACCUGGGCAGCAGUAACACUCACAUAUGCUCCCUGGCUCUGAUUCAGCCAAUGUUCUGGGAUUUCAGUCUCAAAGAGGCAUCAGCCUUCAGUCACGCUGCAAUCUAAUUGGGAGCCUUUGGGGGUUUCUCUGAGGAGGAAGUUACUAACACAUAAUUUGGCAGGAGCUGGUGAUUAGAAGUCUCCAUUUAAAUUACACCACUGUCCACAGAUUCUCUGCAGA
ensembl:lncRNA